rnacentral:rRNA from 1 species
CCUACGUGAGGCAGCAGUGAGGAAUAUUGGUCAAUGGGCGCGAGCCUGAACCCGCCAAGUAGCGUGAAGGAUGACUGCCCUACGGGUUGUAAACUUCUUUUAUAAAGGAAUAAAGUGAGGCACGUGUGCCUUUUUGUAUGUACUUUAUGAAUAAGGAUCGGCUAACUCCGUGCCAGCAGCCGCGGUAAUACGGAGGAUCCGAGCGUUAUCCGGAUUUAUUGGGUUUAAAGGGAGCGUAGAUGGGUUGUUAAGUCCGUUGUGAAAGUUUGCGGCUCAACCGUAAAAUUGCAAUUGAUACUGGCAGUCUUGAGUACAGUUGAGGUAGGCGGAAUUCGUGGUGUAGCGGUGAAAUGCUUAGAUAUCACGAAGAACUCCGAUUGCGAAGGCAGCUUACUAAACUGCCACUGACAUUGAUGCUCGAAAGUGUGGGUAUCAAACAGGAUUAGAUACCCGAGUAGUC